UACAGAGGCCUCGAGCGUUAUGCGGAAUCACUGGGCUUAAAGCGUGUGUAGGCGGCCUUCUAAGUCCCUUGUGAAAUCCCACAGCUUAACUGUGGAACUGCUUGGUAUACUGGUUGUCUUGAGGUACCUAGGGGCGAGCGGAACAAGUGGUGGAGCGGUGAAAUGCGUAGAUAUCACUUGGAACGCCAACGGUGAAAACAGCUCGCUGGGGGUAUCCUGACGCUGAGACACGAAAGCCAGGGGAGCAAACGGG
rnacentral:rRNA from 1 species